rnacentral:ncRNA from 1 species
GGGGGCAAAGUGACAGGUGGUGCAUGGUUGUCGUCAGCUCGUGUCGUGAGAUGUUGGGUUAAGUCCCGCAACGAGCGCAACCCUUGAUCUUAGUUGCCAGCAUUUAGUUGGGCACUCUAAGGUGACUGCCGGUGACAAACCGGAGGAAGGUGGGGAUGACGUCAAAUCAUCAUGCCCCUUAUGACCUGGGCUACACACGUGCUACAAUGGACGGUACAAAGAGCUGCAAGACCGCGAGGUGGAGCUAAUCUCAUAAAACCGUUCUCAGUUCGGAUUGUAGGCUGCAACUCGCCUACAUGAAGCUGGAAUCGCUAGUAAUCGCGGAUCAGCAUGCCGCGGUGAAUACGUUCCCGGGCCUUGUACACACCGCCCGUCACACCACGAGAGUUUGUAACACCCGAAGUCGGUGGGGUAACCUUUAUGGAGCCAGCCGCCUAAGGUGGGACAGAUGAUUGGGGUGAAGUCGUAACAAGGUAGCCGUAUCGGAAGGUGCGGCUGGAUC